GCUUCGCCCGGUUCUGAUGCGGCUCCUGCGCCAGCUGGAAGGCCUCCUUAAUCGGCAGCAGAACCCGGCAGCAGAACCCCAUGGCGCCAGAACCCGGCCGGUAAGAAUCUGUCGGCUCUCAGCCGUAUCUGGCUCGACUGACCACGGCCAGAUUUUCUGCAGACAAAAUUCAGACUUCGGUCAGCCGGCCGCGGACAGCCGAGGGCGUGGUUACCGCCAGAAAGCUCAAAUAACUCCCGCGGGAAAAGGCAAUACCGCGAGACGAACGCGAGGGCAGGGGCGACUCUUAGCUCCGCGCAUGCGCAGAGGGCCGAGCCAGCCUUUUUCCGGCUGGAAGUGUGAUUUCUGUGAGUGUUGAGGUUAGAUGGGAAGUGGUGUUGUGUAGAGAAUGGGGGGCGAGGCGCACCGCGAGUCGGCAGGCGAGGCGCGAGGUUCGCGGCGCUCGGCUGGAGGUGAGAAGGAAGAAAGGCAACCUCUGGUGGGAGUGGUCCGGAGUCCGCUAAAGGGAGACAUUCUGGGGUUCGUUGGCGGGAGGCACGUUUUGCUUUUGCUCAAGGGGCGAAUGGACAUCUACCGGGGGAAGGGGUAAGCGAUCCGGGAUCCGAGGGAAGAUGUUCUCGGGUCACAUGAAGGGGUCAGGCUGAGGUUCUUAGGCCUAGUUAGGUCCCUAGAGAACUGGAGCAAACGGGAGUCUCCUGGGAAGAGGGUUACAUUCUAAUCUACUUAAAGCUCGUACCUGCAAGUUCCUACUCUUGAGGCCUAAGUAUUACUGAUGUGUGCACAAUGGCAAUACAGGAAACAAAGGAUAAUACCAGAGACGGAAAGAAGGACCUGGCACAUCGUAAAUACUUACAUCUUAGUUGAUUGGAUGAAUGCUGUAGCAUUUGAGCUAAAUCAUGAAGAAUGAAUAGGAUUUCAAAUGACUUAAGGCAAGGGGAAUACCAGCCAGAGCGAAAGCAGAAGCAUGAAAGUGCAUGAGGUAUUUCAAGAACUCCCAUAGUCUUAGAGCUUCAAGUGUAGAAUAGUAUGGAGAUAUGGGAUGAAGGAGAAACCUAGAGAGAUAGGAUGAGGCUUUAAGAGGUAAAAAUUCAUGGCAGGGAAUUAAAGACCACACCUGUCAAGCAUCAUAGCAAUAAUGAUCAUUGCAUUAAGCAUGUAAGGCAAUCAUGCAGACCUGCUUAAAAUCCUAACACAUUUUCCUAGUCCAUUCGUAGCACCACUUUUGUAAACAACUAUUUCAUACCUUAUUCUGUCAAACUUGCAACAUUUUCUGCUUCUGACUCCCAUUUAGCUGUUACCUUGCAUCCUCUUUCAGUUAGAAAAGGACUUCCCCAUGCUUUCAUCCCCACAUCUAUCAGGUCUAUACCCUAAUAUAUUAUGUCUGCUAUUAUUGUAGGUGUAUUGUCUGCUUGAGGAGAGAGAGUAAGCCCUUUAAGAAUACUUUUUGGAUAUAACAGUCUGAAGCAUAGCUGAUUAUGAACUCCCACAGAGAACUGGAUUGAAAUGAGAAUAGUAAAAAUAUAAAAGAACAGAAUGAUUUAAAGACAAUUGUUUUUGUCUAAAAGAAUAAUUACUUAUUGUAAUAUAAAUGAGAUAUUAGGGUUUUUUUUAAUGUGUUUCUUAUUUUCAGGUAGAUUUAAGUGUUAGGCUUUAUAAGAUAAAUCUGAAUAUAGUUUACAUUUAUGUUUUUAUAAGACCAUUGUUUCUAGUAUCUAACAUUAUAAGCAGUUUAUUUUGAAAUAGAAUAUCGUUGAUCCAAUUUUAAAGAAUAGGUCAUACUAACCUUUGUCUUACAUAUUACCAAAUUGUUCAAAUAUAGUUUGGUAACUUAUUUUUCAUUGAUUAAUAAAAACAAUGUACAUGGUA